CCUACGGGAGGCAGCAGUGAGGAAUAUUGGUCAAUGGGCUUACGCCUGAACCAGCCAAGUCGCGUGAGGGAAGACUGCCCUAUGGGUUGUAAACCUCUUUUGUCAGGGAGCAAUUGGCACUACGUGUAGCGUUAUCGAUAGUACCUGCAGAAAAAGCAUCGGCUAACUCCGUACCGGCAGCCGCGUUAAUAGGGGGGAUGAGAGCGUUAUCCGAUUUUAUGGGGUUUACAGGUUGCGUAGGGGGAAUGCCAAUUCAGCGGUAAAAUCGCGGGCUUAAACCUCGCUUUGCAGUUGAUACUGGCGUGCUUGAGUGUGCUAGAGGUAUGUGGAAUGCGUGGUGUAGCGGUGAAAUGCGUAGAGAUCACGAAGAAUACCGAUUGCGAAGGCAGCAUACUGG
rnacentral:rRNA from 1 species